UGCGGGAUGGUGUAAGGGUAACAUAUGAGGUUUUCGCCCUCGUGCUGCUGGUUCAAAUCCAGCUCCCGCCUCCAA
rnacentral:tRNA from 1 species